rnacentral:rRNA from 1 species
AGUGGCUACAGGACAACGCUGGCGGUGUGCUUCACACAUGCAAGUCGAACGAGGUAGCAAUACCUAGUGGCGGACGGGUGAGUAACGCGUGGGAAUCUGCCUUUAGAUGGGGGAUAACGGGUCGAAAGACUCGCUAAUACCGCAUAUGACGAAAGUUGAAAGGAGUAAUCCGUCUAAAGAUGAGCCCGCGUCCGAUUAGCUAGUUGGUAGAGUAAAAGCCUACCAAGGCGACGAUCGGUAGCUGGUCUGAGAGGAUGAUCAGCCACAAUGGGACUGAGACACGGCCCAUACUCCUACGGGAGGCAGCAGUGGGGAAUUUUACGCAAUGGGCGAAAGCCUGACGUAGCGACACCGCGUGAGCGAAGAAGCCCCUUGGGGUGUAAAGCUCUGUCAGCUGGAACGAAAAAAUGACGGUACCAGCAGAGGAAGCAUCGGCUAACUACGUG